GGCUCGGUAGCAGAGGGUCUGCAUCUGCUUUCCAUUAUUGCUACUUGCCCAGAUAUAAUGCAGAUAAUGCCUGUUCGACUCGGGCCCGAGCCA